CACGCUGUAAACGAUGAUUACUAGGUGUGGGGGGACUGACCCCUUCCGUGCCGGAGUUAACACAAUAAGUAAUCCACCUGGGGAGUACGACCGCAAGGUUGAAACUCAAAGGAAUUGACGGGGCCCCGCACAAGCAGUGGAGUAUGUGGUUUAAUUCGACGCAACGCGAAGAACCUUACCAGGUCUUGACAUCCAACUAAUGAAGCAGAGAUGCAUUAAGUGCCCUUCGGGGAAAGUUGAGACAGGUGG
rnacentral:rRNA from 1 species